GGCGGAGGCCUACACUGCAAGUCGUACGAGAGUUUUUACUCUAGUGGCGGACGGGUGAGUAACACGUGAGAAUCUGCCUUUAGGAGGGGGAUAACAACUGGAAACGGUUGCUAAUACCCCAUAUGCUUUCGAGUGAAAUGGAUUUAUCCGCCUAGAGAGGAGCUCGCGGCUGAUUCGCUUGUUGGUAGGGUAAUGGCCUACCAAGGCGACGAUCAGUAUCUGGUUUGAGAGGACGAUCAGACACACUGGAACUGAGACACGGUCCAGACUCCUACGGGAGGCAGCAGUGGGGAAUUUUCCGCAAUGGGCGAAAGCCUGACGGAGCAAUACCGCGUGAGGGAAGACGGCCUAUGGGUUGUAAUCCACUUUUCUAAAAAGGAACUCAAUG
rnacentral:rRNA from 1 species